GGGAUUGCCCUAGUAACGGCGAGUGAAGCGGCAACAGCUCAAAUUUGAAAUCUGGCUCUUUCAGGGUCCGAGUUGUAAUUUGUAGAGGGCGCUUUGGUGUUGGCUGCGGUCUAAGUUCCUUGGAACAGGACGUCACAGAGGGUGAGAAUCCCGUACGUGGUCGACAGUCUUCACCGUGUAAAGCCCCUUCGACGAGUCGAGUUGUUUGGGAAUGCAGCUCUAAAUGGGAGGUAAAUUUCUUCUAAAGCUAAAUAUUGGCCAGAGACCGAUAGCGCACAAGUAGAGUGAUCGAAAGAUGAAAAGCACUUUGGAAAGAGAGUCAAAAAGCACGUGAAAUUGUUGAAAGGGAAGCGCUUGCAACCAGACUUGCCUGCAGUUGCUCAUCCGGUCUUCUGACCGGUGCACUCUUCUGUAGGCAGGCCAGCAUCAGUUCGGGCGGCUAGAUAAAGACCUCUGUCACGUAUCUUCCUUCGGGAUGACCUUAUAGGGGAGGUGUAAUGUAGCCAGCCUGGAUUGAGGUCCGCGCAUCUGCUAGGAUGCUGGCGUAAUGGUUGUAAGCGGCCCGUCUUGAAACACGGACCAAGGAGUCUAACAUCUAUGCGAGUGUUUGGGUGUAAAGCCCGGACGCGUAAUGAAAGUGAACGGAGGUGGGAACCCUUACGGGUGCACCAUCGACCGAUCCUGAUGUCUUCGGAUGGAUUUGAGUAAGAGCAUAGCUGUUGGGACCCGAAAGAUGGUGAACUAUGCCUGAAUAGGGUGAAGCCAGAGGAAACUCUGGUGGAGGCUCGCAGCGGUUCUGACGUGCAAAUCGAUCGUCAAAUUUGGGCAUAGGGGCGAAAGACUAAUCG
rnacentral:rRNA from 1 species